GACUCGAUGGCGGAUGGUCCGCACCUGCUUCCAAUUCGCAUCAAGCAGAGCCGGUUCGAAUCCGGCUCGGGUUU